rnacentral:rRNA from 1 species
AGAAUCAACGCUGGCGGCGUGCCUAACACAUGCAAGUCGAACGAGAAAGUGGAGCAAUCCAUGAGUAAAGUGGCGACCGGGUGAGUAACACGUGACUAACCUACCUUCGAGUGGGGGAUAACCUCGGGAAACCGAGGCUAAUACCGCAUAACAUCGCAAGAUCAAAGCAGCAAUGCGCUGGAAGAGGGGGUCGCGGCUGAUUAGCUAGUUGGCGGGUAACGCCCACAAGGCGAAGAUCGGUAGCCGGCCUGAGAGGGCGCACGGCCACACUGGAACUGAAACACGGUCCAGACUCCUACGGGAGGCAGCAGUGGGGAAUUUUGCGCAAUGGGGGGAAACCCUGACGCAGCAACGCCGCGUGGAGGAUGAAGCCCCUUGGGGCGUAAACUCCUUUCGACCAAGACGAUAAUGACGGUACUGGUGGAAGAAGCACCGGCUAACUCUGCGCCAGCAGCCGC